ACCCUGGGUGAACACCUGGAAUCUUGCACCACUUGAAUAUUGGGGUGGCGUACAACAAUGUGUAAUGCAUUUUCCAUCCUCGGGAAAUACUUUCCACGAUGACUUGAGUGUGUUGCAGAUGAUUAUUGGACACAUUCAAGGGCCAGGCAUCAGCCAUGCCUAUUGAGGGCAUGACUUGGAAGAUAUCCCACAAGCUGGUAUUGCUGCACAUUGCAGAGGAAGAUUGGUGGUGAUGGACGAGCUCUCAUUCAGGGAAGCUUGUUUCACCCAUCUUUUCAGUGAGGACACCCCCUCUCCCAAUAAACUUCUAAGGAACAACGUGGUUCCACAGGAAGAUACUGCCUGAAAAAAGACGGACCUAGAAACCUGUAAUGGAAGCACCUUAUGAACACAGGGAAAGAAGACCCCACCACCAUUGUUUAGCAGCAAGGAGGCCUCAGUCCAUUGCUACUUCCAGCUUCUUCAUCUGUUGUCGUCACAUAUAUCGCCAUGAUGAAACUAGGGACUAACAUGUCGCUGAAAUGGAGCAAAUGGUUUUGACUCAGGCUUCUUAUGUGAAUUUAUGAUGGCUUAAAGAAGAGACGGUGGUCCUAAUAAUCCAGGAUUAGAAACAGAAAAUGUAGAAAACCAUGGGGUCGCAACUGGAAGGAAGAUCAUUCAUUUCAGUUCAAGACAGGAAAUAAAUGCAAAAGACUUCGUUUUCUCGUGUAUGGAAAGCAGGCCUCAGAUAAACAACGUAGUCCAGAAAACACACGUUUGUGUGUUAACUCUGUUACAUGCACACAGCUUGAGGCAAGGCGCGUCUAUAAAUAAAAAACGCCCCACCCACCCUUCGUCGAAAUCUGUGGGGAAUUUAGUGAGUGUGUGUUUUUGUAAGAUAUUUCUCUUCAAUUAGGCCACACCGUACAGUGGCUUUAUAUGAAAGGCAGCCUAGAGACAGAGCGAGCGCAGGGUGGCUCUGUGGAAGUGAGAGUACAUUGUAAUGAUAGCAGCCGUGCUCGGGUUGCGAGUGUCAUUCACCUCUUAUUCUUAAUCAAAAGGCUUCCAAAUCCCUUCUUGAGGCACGUCCUCUGGAAAUGAAGGGACUGCCAGAGGAAUCAUUUGAAUGUGGCAGCCCUUGAUAAUGAUGAAAUGAAUAAAAGGAGUCCCCUUAUGAGAAGCGGUGUCUGGUCCAAGUCAAGUUUAAAGAGUGAGAACCAUAAGAAGCGAGAUCAGCAGGGGUCUUCCGGUUGCCCAUCAAAGAGUUGGCACCUGGGUAGCAGAUGGAGCAGACACACACCUGACCACAGCCUUCCCUGCUAUGCAGCCAGUGAGGCAAAUAAUGUAAUUUUUGGUGGAAGGAGAGAUGCAGUGGAAUAGAAACAACGCCGUAUGCAACUAGUAGAUGGCGGGAUGGAAAACGAUGCCUUCUUACAUCCCUCCUUCCCAGUAACUCUUAUCUGUUUCAUUGCAAGUAUAUUGUAAGCAGCUUCAAUAACUAAUAGGUGAGAUGUAAAUUCUAAUUAAUAAAUAUUGCUGUGGAGACCCCUUCCCUUUUCUGCUUGAAAGGAUGCCAGAAAAUUUCUAAUCUCUUGCAUGUUUGUUCUGCCCACGCACCUUGAUCAUAUAACCUUAAAGGGGGGUGGGGGGCACCAGCCAAGUGCAUAUGAGGCUGCUUGUGUGCUUUCUGUGGCAUUAGCAUCUGCCAGGGGUGCUGCAAGUCCCUGUGUGUAAGAGAAAUCCUCCCCGCGGGAUUUGCUUAGUGCGAGAGAAUGAUUAGCAAUUGCUAGUGAUUAGUAAUUUUCUCCCACAGAUGGCUUUUCUGCAUUCCUGUAGAGCUCCACAUACACGGUGGCUCUGCCAAUGCACUGCAAAGGCAGAAAACACUAUGUGGCAGGAAAGGAAGAAAUAUCUGGCAGGCUUCUCCUCCCCCCUCCCUUUUGUGUUAUUGUUAUAAACAAGCAGCCUAAUCGCACUGGCAAAUAAGCAAGAAGGGGAACAAAUGAGCUGGGUUCUGAAUUAUUUUGUACACAUGGGGCGAGAAUCAUUCCAUGUAAAUCAAAGUUCUCCAGGGGAUCAGGGCUACAUUAAAGUGCAUGUUGGGUUGGGAGGAGGUAGACGCCCAGUGAACCAGGCAGCUUAGAGGUUGAAUUGCACACUUCCCAUGAGGUUAGGAAUCUAUCGUUCUACCAAAAUAAUAA